rnacentral:rRNA from 1 species
UCGGGAAUAUUGCGCAAUGGAGGAAACUCUGACGCAGUGACGCCGCGUGCAGGAAGAAGGUUUUCGGAUUGUAAACUGCUUUAGACAGGGAAGAAACAAGACAGUACCUGUAGAAUAAGCUCCGGCUAACUACGUGCCAGCAGCCGCGGUAAUACGUAGGGAGCAAGCGUUAUCCGGAUUUAUUGGGUGUAAAGGGUGCGUAGACGGGAAUGCAAGUUGGUUGUGAAAUCCCUCGGCUCAACCGAGGAAUUGCAACCAAAACUAUAUUUCUUGAGUGCUGGAGAGGAAAGUGGAAUUCCUAGUGUAGCGGUGAAAUGCGUAGAUAUUAGGAGGAACACCAGUGGCGAAGGCGACUUUCCGGACAGUAACUGACGUUGAGGCACGAAAGUGUGGGGAGCAAACAGGAUUAGAUACCC